rnacentral:rRNA from 1 species
GACGAACGCUGGCGGCGUGCCUAAUACAUGCAAGUCGAGCGCAGGAAACUGACGGAACUCUUCGGAGGGAAGGCAGCGGAAUGAGCGGCGGACGGGUGAGUAACACGUAAGGAACCUGCCUCAAGGAUUGGGAUAACUCCGAGAAAUCGGAGCUAAUACCGGAUAGUUCAUCGGACCGCAUGGUCCGCUGAUGAAAGGCGCUCCGGCGUCACCUUGAGAUGGCCUUGCGGUGCAUUAGCUAGUUGGUGGGGUAACGGCCCACCAAGGCGACGAUGAAUAGUCGACCUGAGAGGGUGAUCGGCCACACUGGGACUGAGACAAGGCCCAGACUCCUACGGGAGGCAGCAGUAGGGAAUCUUCCACAAUGGACGAAAGUCUGAUGGAGCAACGCCGCGUGAGUGAUGAAGGUUUUCGGAUCGUAAAACUCUGUUGUAAGGGAAGAACACGUACGAGAGGGAAUGCUCGUACCUUGACGGUACCUUACGAGAAAGCCACGGCUAACUACGUGCCAGCCGCCGCCGUAA